CGUGAAACCGUCCAGGGGUAAACCUGCGAAACUCGAAUGAACGAACGGAGAGAUUCAUCGUCAUUCCUCGGCGCACGUGCGCCGGCACGAUGUCCCCGCUCUCGGGCGGCGGGCACGGGCCGCGCGCGUCGCGCUCCGGGGACGGCGUGCACUUCUCUCCCAGUAAUACAUCGCGACCCGUUCGGCGUCGGUGUAAGUGCCCUCCGGGAGCCUCAGCUUCCUCGCGUCGCGGAGACCGAGAGGUGUCACCGACCGGCCGCCGGACGGUAUAUCGUACGAAACGCGCACGCGCUCUCGCGCGUCCGGCCCGACGCAAGGCAACGCCGUAUCCCUCCUCCUGCCCGAGUGCGGUGGAGGGUGCGGCGCGCCUGUCGUCGCAGCCGUGCUGUCUCGGACUGUGCGCGUGUCCGUCUGCGA
rnacentral:rRNA from 1 species